GGACGAACACCGAUAUGCUUCGGGGAGCUGUAAGCAAGCUUUGAUCCGGAGAUUUCCGAAUGGGGACCCACUGCUCGUAAUGGAGCAGUAUCCAUAUCUGAAUUCAUAGGAUAUGAGAAGGCAGACCCGGGGAACUGAAACAUCUAAGUACCCGGAGGAAGAGAAAGCAAAUGCGAUUCCCUGAGUAGCGGCGAGCGAAACGGGAACAGCCCAAACCAAGAGGCUUGCCUCUUGGGGUUGUAGGACACUCUGUACGGAGUUGCAAAAGAACGAGGUAGAUGAAGAGGUCUGGAAAGGCCCGCCAUAGGAGGUAAGCCCUGUAGUCAAAACUUCGUUCUCUCCUGAGUGGAUCCUGAGUACGGCGGAACACGUGAAAUUCCGUC
rnacentral:rRNA from 1 species